rnacentral:rRNA from 1 species
UACGAAGGGGGCUAGCGUUGCUCGGAAUCACUGGGCGUAAAGGGCGCGUAGGCGGCCUUCUAAGUCAGACGUGAAAUCCCCAGGCUUAACUUGGGAACUGCGUCUGAUACUGGGAGGCUUGAGUGCGGGAGAGGGAUGUGGAAUUCCAGGUGUAGCGGUGAAAUGCGUAGAGAUCCGGAGGAACACCAGUGGCGCAGGCGGCUCUCUGGGUCGGCCCUGACGCUGAGGCGCGAAAGCGUGGGGAGCGAACGGG